UCUCCUGGGAAACGGGUGGUAAUGCCGGAUGCUCCAGUUGAUCGCAUGGUCUUCUGGGAAAGCUUUCGCGGUAUGGGAUGGGGUCGCGUCCUAUCAGCUUGACGGCGGGGUAACGGCCCACCGUGGCUUCGACGGGUAGCCGGCCUGAGAGGGCGACCGGCCACAUUGGGACUGAGAUACGGCCCAGACUCCUACGGGAGGCAGCAGUGGGGAAUAUUGCACAAUGGGCGCAAGCCUGAUGCAGCGACGCCGCGUGAGGGAUGGAGGCCUUCGGGUUGUAAACCUCUUUUAUCGGGGAGCAAGCGAGAGUGAGUUUACCCGUUGAAUAAGCACCGGCUAACUACGUGCCAGCAGCCGCGGUAAUACGUAGGGUGCAAGCGUUAUCCGGAAUUAUUGGGCGUAAAGGGCUCGUAGGCGGUUCGUCGCGUCCGGUGUGAAAGUCCAUCGCUUAACGGUGGAUCCGCGCCGGGUACGGGCGGGCUUGAGUGCGGUAGGGGAGACUGGAAUUCCCGGUGUAACGGUGGAAUGUGUAGAUAU
rnacentral:rRNA from 2 species